rnacentral:rRNA from 1 species
CAGGAAGCAGCUUGCUGCUUCGCUGACGAGUGGCGGACGGGUGAGUAAUGUCUGGGAAGCUGCCUGAUGGAGGGGGAUAACUACUGGAAACGGUAGCUAAUACCGCAUAAUGUCGCAAGACCAAAGAGGGGGACCUUCGGGCCUCUUGCCAUCGGAUGUGCCCAGAUGGGAUUAGCUUGUUGGUGGGGUAACGGCUCACCAAGGCGACGAUCCCUAGCUGGUCUGAGAGGAUGACCAGCCACACUGGAACUGAGACACGGUCCAGACUCCUACGGGAGGCAGCAGUGGGGAAUAUUGCACAAUGGGCGCAAGCCUGAUGCAGCCAUGCCGCGUGUAUGAAGAAGGCCUUCGGGUUGUAAAGUACUUUCAGCGGGGAGGAAGGGAGUAAAGUUAAUACCUUUGCUCAUUGACGUUACCCGCAGAAGAAGCACCGGCUAACUCCGUGCCAGCAGCCGCGGUAAUACGGAGGGUGCAAGCGUUAAUCGGAAUUACUGGGCGUAAAGCGCACGCAGGCGGUUUGUUAAGUCAGAUGUGAAUCCCCGGGCUCAACCUGGGAACUGCAUCUGAUACUGGCAAGCUUGAGUCUCGUAGAGGGGGGUAGAAUUCCAGGUGUAGCGGUGAAAUGCGUAGAGAUCUGGAGGAAUACCGGUGGCGAA